UGAGGAAUAUUGCACACUGGGCGCAAGCAUGAUGCAGCAACGCCGCGUGCGGGACGAAGGCCUUCGGGUCGUAAACCGCUUUUCUGGGGGAAGAGCAAGGACGGUACCUCAGGAAUAAGUCUCGGCUAACUACGUGCCAGCAGCCGCGGUAAAACGUAGGAGGCGAGCGUUAUCUGGAUUUACUGGGCGUAAAGCGCACGCAGGCGGCUCUGUUAGUCGGACGUGAAAGCUAUCGGCUUAACCGGGAGAGGCCGUUCGAUACUGCGGGGGUUGGGGUAGGGAGAGGAGUGCGGGAUUCCCGGUGUAGGGGUGGAAUGCGUAGAGAUCGGGAGGAACAGCUGUGGCGAAAGCGG
rnacentral:rRNA from 1 species